rnacentral:rRNA from 1 species
UACAGAGGUCUCGAGCGUUGUUCGGAUUCAUUGGGCGUAAAGGGCGCGUAGGCGGCGGGGUAAGUCAGGUGUGAAAUCUAGGAGCUCAACUCCUAAACUGCACUGGAUACUGCUCUGCUAGAGGACUGGAGAGGAGACUGGAAUUCACGGUGUAGCAGUGAAAUGCGUAGAUAUCGUGAGGAAGACCAGUGGCGAAGGCGGGUCUCUGGACAGUUCCUGACGCUGAGGCGCGAAGGCCAGGGGAGCAAACGGG